GGGAAUGUGGCUUAGUGGUAGAGUACUUGCCUCGCAUUCAUGAAGUCCUGGGUUCGAUUCCUCAGUACCA
rnacentral:tRNA from 1 species